GACUGUUUUAAGACCUUUUUGGGUUUUUAUGCUGACAGGUUUCUCUGCCAAGAUUCCAUCUUCUGAAAAUAUAAACCUGGUGCUCUGUGUGUGCUUGUGAGAAUGUUAGUUGUGUCCAAAGAUAGAGAACGAGGUGUUCUGCUUACUAUAGCUCCUCUGAUCUGGUUGAUAGAAUUUUCUGGAUUUCUGGUUCUAGGUUGUCACUGACCAUGAGGACUCUCUACCUGAUGUAUAUGGUGCUUUUUUUGGUAUUUCCCUAUGCUGUCAAAGGGAUGGUGAAACCUGAAAGCUAUGCUCAAUGUGAAUUGGAGGGUGGCCGUUGUUUCAUUCGUUGUCGAAGACCAUAUACAAAAUCUGGCUUCUGUGACAGUCCACGUGUUAAAUGCUGCAAACGUUAGCAAACAGAGACAGAAAAGAAGAGUGUGUCCAGACUCUGUGGUAUAAACGAGUGAGAGUAUUAAAUAGGAGAGAAGUUUAAAUGCAUGGAAUAUGCUAUGCUUAUAUUAAUAAAGGAAAAUUCAUUUGGAAACUUGGUUUUCUAAUGCAUAAAUGAAUGUUGGGUGUGACUUUUUUCAUUUUAAGACA